CCUAUGCAAACUGUGUUGAGGAGUUGUCCAAGGGCCAGGAAGUCACAAUAGCAGGCGUGAAGUUUGACUCAAUUUUCAAUUAACUGAAACAUUUUCAUGUCUGUCAACCAGGACUUCCACCUUGCCUGGGUCAUGAUCUGUUUGAGGGGAUUGUGUCAGCAGAUCUUGCAUUGUAUAGCAAGAACCUGGUGUCUGUUGGAAAACAUUUUUCAUAUGUUCAGCUGAAUUUCCAAGGCAGUGAUGCUAGGAGCCGACCAUGUGAAGUGAAAUCAGAUGGAGAGUGCUUGGGAGGUAGUGCUACCCAGAACUGGUGCUUAUUGCGGCUUCUCCCUGUUCUUGUUGGUGAAAAGUGAUGGAGGACAUCAUAAGAGGCACCCUUCCCCAUCUGGAUAGUAAGACUGUGGAGACUAUAGUUAAAGAUUUGCCCUCAUUGGGAGUAAGGGAGAUUAACAAAUUUAUGUACAUGAAAGAGGAUGACAUCAGACAUCUUAUGUCCAUAGUUGAUUGCAGAAAACUACUACAAAGAUUCAACAACAUAGAUAAUGGAGCCCAACAGAACAAUCUGCUAAGGGACUCUGCUGCGUCUGACAUGAUAACACUGACUCUUACACCAAUGUCUUCAUUAGAAGCCUCUUCAAGCACACAGUUUGCACUACCAGCUCAGCACUCUACCCCUGUGCAGCACAGCACCUCGCACCCAACUUUCCAAGUACCUUGGGACAAGACCAGACCAAGUCUAAGAACAUUACUUGAACUGGACUUGGACACUUGGACACUUCACUUUGUGUUCACAAUUUUUGUGUUCAAAUUACAACCUGAACAGGAACAACACCCCCGCACGCCUAAGAAAACCAAAAAGGCCUGCUGUAAUGGUGGAGAAUAGCCAUCCAGCACCAUCCAGAAAAUGUGCAAAACUCUGAAAAAAAUUGAUGAUAAUCACAUAUGAGGCCAAGCAACGUGCCAUCGAUGCAUCACCUGCACCUAGCAUUAACCAACUAAAGACUGAUUGGCCUUUCCUGAAGAGUUCUUUCCUUGUUCAUGAAGAGAUUUCUGAUCCAGAAUUCCAGUACACUUACAGGCAUUGAAUUAGAAGCAAGACUCGGGGAGUCCAUCACUGGAAAGGAAGAAAGGUUCUCCAUUUCUUCAAGUCUCAAUUGCUGCGCUGGAGAAAAGAGGUGAGGACAGUCCUUGCAGACAUAGAAAGAGAAUCUAGAGAUGUGGAUCCUGGCCUUGCUGCCAUUUGGUGAUAAUGGCAUUCUUCAAAGAAAAAGAAGAUUCACUUUUCCUUCUGGCUGAUGUAAGUACAGUAAUUGUUUUAUGAUACUGUCAUAACAUACAGGUUUUUAGAUGUUUGAUUAGUUUGUUCUUUGUAAUUUACUGUUGGGAAAUUGAAACACUUUAAUCUAUUAGUUUAGAUUGCAAUAAAAAAAUUAGACUACAAUAACACAAUCUUAUUUUUGAGGGCCAAAGAUGUUAUUUUAACAUGAUGAAACAAUCUUUUUUAUAGGAAGAGUUCUUCUAAAAAUGAAAAUUGUUAUCAUUUACUUACCCUACAGUUGUUCCAAACUUGUAUGAAUUGCAUGUCCCCAUUAUUAAAAAAAUAAACAUGGCCAAAUAACUUGUUGUGCUCAGUGCUAGCUGUUAGCCACUCAUAGAUGCAAUCUUUGAAAUGGUGCACAAAACCGUUGUUAGCGAAUUCCUUUUGAGUAUUUCAUCCUUCAGUUAUUCCUCUUUUGUCUGCAAAAGAGCGCCUUGAAAGAGGCAGAUCGGCAACAAGAUAUGAUGUAGAGGAGCCGACGACAGCGGCUUGGAAAUUCCCAACUUAACGCUGGGCGCAGUGUUGCCAAAUUGGGCUACUUUAACAAUGUUGCUGCAGGUUGUUUUUCAUGUCUGCUAGUUGAAGCGACCUCAUUGACGUCAUAUUUAGCCCCUGGAAUGUGAAUUUUACCAGGAGAACCCCGCCAAAAAUGUGUAUUUUACUCCUGGAACGCGAUUUUUAACGGGGGAAACCCAGAGUGCGAAUUACCCCACCAUAAUUGGGGGGUACUGCUCCUUCACUUCUUCUAUGACCAUCAUGGUCCACUACCAUAUCAAUCCCCACCGUGAUCACCAAGUGCAACAUGUGUUGUGCAACACACAUACAAGGUCUAAACAUGCGACAAACUGAUAAUCAGUAGGCUACAGAAUAUCUCAUUGUUAUUAUAUAUCCAAAAGAGAACUGUUUUGAUCAAGUCAAAAGUUAGAAGGGCACUGAAAUACCAUUCUAAUUACUAGUAAACGUAAUACCUUUACAAGAAGCCUAUAUUUCAUGAAAUAUUGAUUUGGUUUAUUUUUAGAUUUCAUAAGACCUGGAGGUAAGUCCCAACCCUCUCAUAUACUGUAUAAACAGAAAUCAAUUUUCCAUUAUAGUCUAUGGUAGUCAGUGUCAAAUCAACACAAUUACUUGGAGAUAUGUGAAACCUGAGCAAUCUUUAAUGUGAUUAAGGAGCAUACUAUGAAAAACAAUACUACCACAGAAGAACUACAUAGCAGUAACAUACAAGAAUCCGAUAACCUGUUAAUGUCAGAACAAGCUGGGUAUCAUCAACACUACAGUAGGCUACACAUGCACAAACACAGAUACACUACUUCCAGACAUUGUAUUUACAUUAUAUAUCACUAUAUUUCUAGACCUGUCCAAAUCUGACAUAAGUAUGUUAUGUAUGAGUAUGUGUAAAAGGUGUAUAUUGUAUUGUAUAUGUAUUUAUUGUGCUUGAAGUGCACUGAAAACUGAAAUAGUAAACGGCUAUGUAUUCCAACAGACACUGUUGUAAUAUAUGCAGUAAAGCAGGCUUGUUUUAAAAUACUGACCACAGAGGUCGGGGUUUUGCCUCUUUUCCCUUCCUCCCUGGCACCCAUGAUUUAGAAAAGCGAUGCCCUGCCGUUACCCAGGACAUCACAUAUGGAGCAGGGUUAAAGAUCUCCAAAUUAGGGCCAUUAAGGUCCACAAAAAGCAGAGAAGACAGACUCUUUGCACGGAGCUUGUUGCGCGUUUUUCUAUCUGUAUCAUUUACUGCCGAAAAUCCUCUCUCACAUUCAGCAGAGGUGGCCAAGUACGUGUUACUUGCAAUGCUACGUUUUUUCAGGGUACCUAGUUGACUAGUUAACUUUCUAAAGAAGGCGCAAUCGCUUCUCGGGUCGACAUUAACACACUUACAAAAUUAUAUUCAGAAUUUAAAAUAUUUUUAUACCACUUUUUAAUGUGUGAUUGUGUAAAGGUGUUCACGAGAAAGAGAUACCAACCUUUCGCGAACUUGCUUUCAACGUCGAACGAACACUCGUUCUCAUGGAGACGCGGUGUGCACGGAGGGGAGGGUGUGUGUGUGUGUGUGUGUGUGUGAGAGAGAGAGAGACGCAUGAGUGACAGAGAGACGGAGGGAGAGCAGGGAAAGGAAAUGCACUGGGCACGUCGCUGGACCCAGAGGGCGUGCUGUCAUGGGAACGUCAAAAUUUGAUUGGCUGAUGCUUCUGUCACUAAUGCUCGUUACACAUCCUUGAACAAAAGGGAAGCACUAUCUGUAGUGCUAGCCCUGUUUUCAUGCAGUCUAUGUGCUGGCAGCAGACUUUUUUAUGUAGGAUAUUCCAGUUCAACCUCAACGAAACUAAU